GAUGAACGCUAGCUACAUGCUUAACACAUGCAAGUCGAGGGGCAGCAUGAUUGAAGCUUGCUUCAAUCGAUGGCGACCGGCGCACGGGUGAGUAACACGUAUCCAACCUGCCGAUAACUCGUGAAUAGCCUUUCGCAAGAAAGAUUAAUACCCGAAAGUAUAAUAUUUCGGCAUGGUUUCACUAUUAAAGAACUUCGGUUAUCGAUGGGGAUGCGUUCCAUUAGAUAGUUGGCGGGGUAACGGCCCACCAAGGCAACGAUGGAUAGGGGUUCUGAGAGGAAGGCACCCCAGAUUUGAACUGAGACACAGUCUAAACUGCUACGGGAGGGAGGAGUGAGGAAUAUUGGGCGAUGGACGAGAGUGUGAAAAAGCCAAGUAGCGUGAAGGAGGACUGCCAUAUGGGUUGUAAACUUCUUUUAUACGGGAAUAAAGUGGAGUAUGAAUACUCCUUUGUAUGUACCGUAUGAAUAAGGAUCGGCUAACUCCGUG
rnacentral:rRNA from 1 species